AUUGAACGCUGGCGGCAGGCCUAACACAUGCAAGUCGAACGAGUGGCGGACGGGUGAGUAAUGUCUGGGAAACUGCCCGAUGGAGGGGGAUAACUACUGGAAACGGUAGCUAAUACCGCAUACUAUCAGAUGUGCCCAGAUGGGAUUAGCUAGUAGGUGGGGUAACGGCAUACCAAGGCGACGAUCCGUAGCUGGUCUGAGAGGAUGAUCAGUCACACUGGAACUGAGAAACGGUCCAGACUCCUACGGGAGGCAGCAGUGGGGAAUAUUGCACAAUGGGCGCAAGCCUGAUGCAGCCAUGCCGCGUGUGUGAAGAAGGUCUUCGGAUUGUAAAGCACUUUCAGUGGGGAGGCGUUACCCACAGAAGAAGCAUCGGCUAACUCCGUGCCAGCCGCCGCGGUAAUAC
rnacentral:rRNA from 1 species